rnacentral:rRNA from 1 species
CCCUGUUUAUCAAAAACAUAUCCUUUAGCCAAACAAAUAUUAAAGGCAACGCCUGCCCAGUGAACAAUUAAACGGCCGCGGUACCCUAACCGUGCAAAGGUAGCAUAAUCAUUUGUCUAUUAAUUGUAGACCAGCAUGAAAGGCAAAAUGAGGGUCUAUCUGUCUCUUACAAUAAAUCAAUUAAACUGAUCUCCCAGUAAAAAAGCUGGAAUCUACACAUAAGACCAGAAGACCCUGUGAAACUUAAACUAAACUAUUAAACCCUAUAAUACUUACUUUCGGUUGGGGCGACCUUGGAAAAAAAAAGAACUUCCAAAUAUACAACCACACCAUCACAAACAGGCCCACAAGCCUAACAAUGACCCAGUACAACUGAUAAUUGAACCAAGCUACUCCAGGGAUAACAGCGCCAUCUUCUUCAAGAGUCCAUAUCAAAAAGAAGGUUUACGACCUCGAUGUUGGAUCAGGACAUCCUAAUGGUGCAACCGCUAUUAAGGGUUCGUUUGUUCAACGAUUAAUAGUCCCACGUGAUCU